UACAGAGGUCUCAAGCGUUGUUCGGAAUCACUGGGCUUAAAGGGCGCGUAGGCGGGCUGCCAAGUCUGGGGUGAAUCCCGAACGGCUCAACCGUGGAACUGCCUCGGAUACUGGCGGCCUCGAGGGGGGUAGGGGCGUGCGGAACUGUGGGUGGAGCGGUGAAAUGCGUUGAUAUCCACAGGAACUCCGGUGGCGAAGGCGGCACGCUGGACCUCUUCUGACGCUGAGGCGCGAAAGCCAGGGGAGCAAACAGG
rnacentral:rRNA from 1 species